AGUGAACGCUGGCGGUGUGCCUAAUACAUGCAAGUCGAGCGAAAACAUGAGGAGCUUUCGCUCUUGACGGUAGCGAGGGACGGACGAGUGACAAGUGGAUAACCUUCUUAUUUGUCUGGGGUGAUUUCGGGAAAACGCAGCCGAUACUAGCUAAUAUAAUGUACCGCUUAGUUCAAUAGUUAAUGGCAGUUUUCCUGUCACUUAUAGCUGGAUCCGGACCGCAUUAGUUAGUUGGUAAGGUAACGGCAUACCAAGGCGACGAUGCGUAGCUGACCUGAGAGGGUGAUCAGCCACACUGGAGCUGAGACACGGUCCAGACUCCUACGGGAGGCAGCAGUGGGGAAUCUUCGGCAAUGGGCGCAAGCCUGACCGAGCAACGCCGCGUGGGUGAUGAAGGUCUUCGGGUUGUAAAACUCUUUUGUUGGGGAAGAAAAACAGGAUGAGUAACUAAUCCUGUUUUGACGGUACCUAAUGAGAAAGCCCCGGCUAACUACGUG
rnacentral:rRNA from 1 species